rnacentral:lncRNA from 1 species
GGACGAGCUGCGAUGCUCCCCCUUCCCAGGAGGGGGCGCCCUGUCGUGGGCGUGACCCAUCCCUCCCAGGGCUCCGCCCCGCAGGUGCAACCCGCCUCCAGAGCCAGGACCGACCUCUUCACAGUCACGGGGCAGGAGGGCAGGGAUAAUGAGCCCCAGCUUCCAGAUGGGGAGCCCCAGGUCCAGAGAGGGGCCAGUGGUGGUUGGGGGUCUGGGGUCACCAGCAGCUAUGAGUCUGAGCCCUGCUUCCGGGGCCCUUGACUCAAAACUAACCAGCUCCUGCUGGUCCUGGGAGAGCUGCUAUCCUGCAAGAGGGCGGGGCUCCGGCUGGGCUUCCUCUGAAACUCCUGGGCCCACGCCUAUCUUUUCUUGGGCCAUCUAGUCUUCUUUUUUUUCUUUUCUUUCUUUUUUUUUUUUGAGGAAGAUUAGCCCUGAGCUAACAUCUGCUGCCAAUCCUCCUCUUUUUGCUGAGGAAGACUGGCCCUGAGCUAACAUCUGUGCCCAUCUUCCUCUACUUUAUAGGUGGGACGCCUGCCACAACAUGGCUUGCCAAGCGGUUCCAUGUCCACACCCAGGAUCCGAACCGGCAAACCCUGGGCCGCCAAAGUGGAACAUGCGAACUUAACUGCUGUGCCACCGGGCUGGCCCGCUGGGCCAUCUAUUCUUGAAUUCCCUCCAAAAUGGACCUUUCUUUUCCCAGGAUUCCCAUGACCUGCUCCCAGCACCCUCUGCCUCAGCCAACCACUGGUUUGAGGGAUGGGGGCAGAACGGUCCCGGCUGCCCCAGCCAUGCGUCAGCCCCUGUGGGUGCCUCAGCUCUGCCAGGGGACUCAGGCUGCACCUGCCCCAGAGCACCCCCAUCUCUCAGAAACGAAAGCCAGCUCUGGGCCCCGCGAUGUGCCAGGCUCUGCUCUGAGACCCGGUGUGUUGGCUCACUGUACCCUCAGAGGAGGUAGCUGAGGCCCAGAGAGGACCAACAGGCAGUCCAGAAUAACGUCCGUGUUUCCCAGUCUCGCUUACAGCUAGGCAUGGUCAGGAGCCUAAUUUCUGGCCAAGAAAGAGAUGUGCACAGUUGCCAGGUCACGCCUUUAAUUGGGAGAGGUGUGUCCCCCGCCUUUUCCCUUCCGGCUGGCUGCAGCAGGGGUGAGAAGCCCGGGACGGCAGCCGCAGCCUCCUAACCGGUCUCCAGUCCAGCGUCCACACAACAGCCGGAGAACUCUUCCCAUGAUGCGGGUCAGAUCAGGGCACUCCCCUGCCCCAAGCCCUCAGUGACUCUCCGUUGUCUUCAGAACAAAGGGCAGCCUCCUCGAUGAUGGGCAAGGUCUUUUCGUCUCUGGCCCUAAACCGUCUUCCCACUCCAUCACUUGCCACUUUCGUCCUCUGCCCUCAUCCCAGAUCAAUCAUCAGGAAAAUCUCAUCCUUCCUUACCUACCCCUUCUUCCCCUGCCUUCCCAGUUCCUCUCCCCACAUCUGGCACUCUCCUAUGUAUCCUUCAAGACCCAGCCCAAAGGGCACCUCCUGUGUGAAGCCCUUCCCGACCCUCCCGGCAGAGUGAGCGGCUCCCUCCCUGGUCUGCCGUGGUCGUUGACAGCCCUCUGAGAUAGUGAUAGCCUUUCUGUAUUGUCACAGUCCGCAGACACAUUCACCUCUCUAUAAGAGCAGGGACCAAGUCUGGUCAUCUGUUGGUAGUCAGCACCCAGCAUGGGGCCAGGCACCAAGCCAGUGGCAGUCAAGUUCAGUGAGUAAUAAAGGAGAGAGAGGGAAUGUGUGUGUGUCUGUCCCCUGAGCUGGCUGGAGGCCCAGGCCAAGGAGAGAGGGAGGACAUCUAGAAAUAGCCACAUCCCCAGGCCCCAGAUCAGGCCUAGUGCCCAGAUAAACUGACUCCGAGUCAGGGGAUGGUGGCCCAGAAUGGGCGGGUGGAAACUAAGAGGUGUGGCUCAGGCAGCCCAUGGCCCUGCAGCCCUCUGGGGUCUGCUAGCCAAGGCAGAUGGGCCCUGCCUGCCUGUUGGCAUGCAGUCCUGGCUCUCAGACCUCAGUGACCCUCAGUGACAGUGAGUAUUUCAGGCUGGGGCUGAGCAUCACCUGUUCCCUUGGCCCCACAGCUUGUAGGGCAAAGGGGAGCCUGCCAGCCCCCCACUGUGGAGGGGGCAGUGUUGGGGCAGGGACACUGGAAACAUUUGUCCUCUCCCUAUUCUGGCCCACCUCACCCUCUUCCCCACUUGGAAGUUCCUUUCCUGAACUACCAGUUGCCAAUGCUUAAAGGAUUAAUGGGAUCAUCUGGUGAACCCGCUACCAUGGAGCUGGGGACACCGAAGGGAAGAGACUGGCCCAAGGUCACGGAGCAAGGCAGGGCGAAGACUACGACAGGGAAAGGCAAGUGGAACAGCAGUAUGCCGCAGAAGAUCUAGAGCCGGUCUCCCUGGGUCCAAAUCCUGGCUCUCCUCUGUAAAUUGGGGAUGGGAGCAUCACCGGGUUAUGGUCAGAUAACUAGAGUUGAAAGAAAGCUGCUACGUCCAGUGCCUGCACUCGCCCUGAAAGGUAGACAGUACAAUCCCAUCACACAGCAGAGGAAACAGGCAGAGGGACUGGCUGGCCAAGUUCACACGGCUGGUGUCAUGUCCCCCAACUGCCCUGCCCGCGGUCUCUCCACCUGCUCCCCCUUGCUGCCCGCAGCUCAUACGCUGCUUCACCCAGCGGAGAGGGUGACUGGGCAGGAGCCAGCCCUUGGCUCCAGAUGCCACCCUGGGCUCCUCUUACCCCUGCACUGGACAACCCCAUUACUCGUCUGCCAUCAUCCUCCCCUGACCCUGAUCCCAUCCUUCAAAUCUCCUGGUCUUCCCACUUCCCACCUGUUGAAGGGGAAAUCUCUCGCCAUAGGCUCCGGUCCUG